rnacentral:rRNA from 1 species
GACGAACGCUGGCGGCGUGCUUAACACAUGCAAGUCGAACGGAAAGGCCUGCUUUCCCUUGUGGAUUGCGGGUACUCGAGUGGCGAACGGGUGAGUAACACGUGAGUGAUCUGCCCCCAACUUGGGUAUAAGCCUGGGAAACUGGGUCUAAUUCCCGAUAGGACUGCAGGGUGGUGCCUGUGGUGGAAAACGAUUUUCUAGUGGUUGGGGAUGAGCUCGCGGCCUAUCAGCUUGUUGGUGGGGUAAUGGCCUACCAAGGCGGCGACGGGUAGCCGGCCUGAGAGGGUGGACGGCCACAUUGGGACUGAGAUACGGCCCAGACGCCUACGGGAGGCAGCAGUGGGGAAUAUUGGACAAUGGGCGGAAGCCUGAUGCAGCGACGGCGCGUGGGGGAUGACGGCCUUCGGGUUGUAAACUCCUUUCGACCGCGAGGAAGCCACCUGGUUGGAAGGGUGGUGACGGUAGUGGUAGAAGAAGCACCGGCUAACUACGUG